rnacentral:siRNA from 1 species
ACGCAAGUAUCGUUGUCCUGUAGA